CCCAUAUCUAGGUUUCAUAACCAGUAAAAGAAAGUUCACCAUAUAAAAGUUAAUGCAUUCAUCCACACCAGAAGUUAAAAAGAGAAAAACUCAAGGUCCUAAGAACAAAAGAGAAAAUAUGCUACUCGACAAUAGACCGGUGACUUGUUCGAUCAAGAUGCUUUGGUGGAAGGUUCCUCCUGAGGCUUCAUUGCCGGGAAUAGAAGAACUUCCUUAAUAUUCUGUGAAUCUGUAAACAACAUUGUAAGACGGUCUAUCCCCAAACCCCAACCACCAGUCGGUGGCAACCCAUACUCGAGAGCAGUGCAAAAUGUUUCAUCCAAAGCCAUCGCCUCAUCGUCUCCCGAUUUCCGAUCCUUAAGCUGUUCGGCAAAGCGUUCACGCUGUACAACAGGAUCAUUCAAUUCCGUGUAUGCAUUACACACCUCAUGCUUGUUAAUGAACAGCUCAAACCGUUCUGUAAGUCCUGGCCUUGAUCUAUGCCAUUUUGCCAAAGGGCUCAUUAUCUCCGGAUGAUUCAUAAUGAAAGCUGGAUUUACACACGUUUCCUCCAAGAAAUGCCCAACAAGCUUGUCCAGCAAUCUUGCAGUUGUCUGAGGUGGAGGGCAUUUGACAUCAAACUUCGCACAUGCAUCCAAUAAAUACUUGUUUGCCUCUUCACUCGCAAUGUCUGUUGGUAUAUUCAGGUUGGCCAUAGUUUCUAAACCUUUAAUCAUGUCAAUCCUCCUGAAGGGCGGAGUGAAAUCAAUCUCAAUUGGAUCUUUGUCCACUCCAUGUGCAUGGUAUUUUAUUUUAUAGCCACCUGUUAACUCCUUGACCAUUCCCGAUACCAUUUCCUCGGUAAGCUUCAUUAAGUCAUUGUAG
rnacentral:misc_RNA from 1 species